GAUUAACGCUGGCGGCAUGCCUAAUGCAUGCAAAUCGAACGAAGCCUUUUGGCUUAGUGGUGAACGGGUGAGUAACACGUACCUAAUCUACCCUUAAGUUUGGGAUAACUAGUCGAAAGAUUAGCUAAUACCGGAUAAUAACAUUCACUUGCAUGAGUGAAUGUGGAAAGUUGCGUUUGCAACGCUUUUGGAUGAGGGUGCGGCGUAUCAGAUAGUUGGUGAGGUAACGGCUCACCAAGUCAUUGACGCGUAGCUGUACUGAGAGGUAGAACAGCCACAAUGGGACUGAGACACGGCCCAC
rnacentral:rRNA from 1 species